rnacentral:rRNA from 1 species
GAUGAACGCUGGCGGCGUGCCUAAUACAUGCAAGUCGAGCGAACAGACGAGGAGCUUGCUCCUCUGACGUUAGCGGCGGACGGGUGAGUAACACGUGGAUAACCUACCUAUAAGACUGGGAUAACUUCGGGAAACCGGAGCUAAUACCGGAUAAUAUAUUGAACCGCAUGGUUCAAUAGUGAAAGACGGUUUUGCUGUCACUUAUAGAUGGAUCCGCGCCGCAUUAGCUAGUUGGUAAGGUAACGGCUUACCAAGGCAACGAUGCGUAGCCGACCUGAGAGGGUGAUCGGCCACACUGGAACUGAGACACGGUCCAGACUCCUACGGGAGGCAGCAGUAGGGAAUCUUCCGCAAUGGGCGAAAGCCUGACGGAGCAACGCCGCGUGAGUGAUGAAGGUCUUCGGAUCGUAAAACCCUGUUAUUAGGGAAGAACAAAUGUGUAAGUAACUAUGCACGUCUUGACGGUACCUAAUCAGAAAGCCACGGCUAACUACGUG